rnacentral:tRNA from 1 species
GGUUCCUUGGCCGAGUGGUUAGGCAACGGUCUGCAAAACCGGAGACGGCGGUUCAAAUCCGCCAGGAACCU